rnacentral:rRNA from 1 species
ACUCUCGGCAGCGGAUAUCUCGGCUCUCACAUUGAUGAAGAACGUAGCGAAAUGUGAUACUUGGUGUGAAUUGCAGAAUCCCGUGAACCAUCAAGUCUUUGAACGCAAGUUGUGCCCGAAGCCACUAGGCUGAGGGCACGCCUGCAUGGGUGUCGCGCAUCGCGUCGCUCCCUCCCCGCACCUAAACAUGCGGUGGGGGCGGAGAGUGGUCCCCCAUGUGCGGCGCCGCACGGUCGGCCCAAAUGUGAUCCUCGGCGACGCACGUCACAACAUGUGGUGGUUGAACCCUCAACGCGCGCUGUCGUGUACUACCGUGUCGGGACGCAUGAUCAGACCCAACGGCACGUGCGAGCAUGUCGCCUUCGACCGCGACCCCAGGUCAGGCGGGAUCUCCCACUGAUUUUAAGCAUAUCAAUAAGCGGAGGAAAAGAAACUUACGAGGAUUCCCCUAGUAACGGCGAGUGAACCGGGAAUAGCCCAACUUGAGAAUCGGGCGGCCACGCCAUUCGAAUUGUAGUCUGGAGAAGUGUCCUCAGCGGUGGACCGGGGUUGAGUCCCCUGGAAUGAGACGCCAUAGAGGGUGAGAGCCCCGUUGCUCCCGGACCCUGUCGCACCAUGAGGCACUGUCAGCGAGUCGGGUUGUUUGGGAAUGCAGCCCCAAUCGGGCGGUAAAUUCUGUCCAAGGCUAAAUACGGGCGAGAGACCGAUAGCGAACAAGUACCGCGAGGGAAAGAUGAAAAGGACUUUGAAAAGAGAGUCAAAUAGUGCUUGAAAUUGUCGGGAGGGAAGCGGAUGGGGGUCGGCAAUUCGUCCCGGUCGGAUGUGGAAUGGCGAGAGCCGGUCCACCGAUCGACUCGGGGCGCGGACCAGCACGGAUCGAUGCGGCGCUCAAAGCUCGGGCGGUUGAUAUGCUCGUUGUACGGCAUUGCAUCGAUCCAGGCGGACAACGCGUGCCUCGGUAACUGCGCGUUCCCGGUGCUGGCCUGCGGGCUCCCCAUUCGACCCGUCUUGAAAAACGGACCAAGGAGUCUGACAUGUGUGCGAGUCAAUGAGUGAUUAAACCCGUAAGGCUCAAGGAAGCUGACCGGCGCGAUCCCCCCGAGGGGUGCACCGCCGACCGACCUUGAUCUUUUGAGAAGGGUUCGAGUGAGAGUACCUGUCGGGACCCGAAAGAUGGUGAACUGUGCCUGAGCGGGCGAAGCCAGAGGAAACUCUGGUGGAGGCCAGCAGCGAUACUGACGUGCAAAUCGUUCAUCUGACUUGGGUAUAGGGGCGAAAGACUAAUCGAACCGUCUAGUAGCUGGUUCCCUCCGAAGUUUCCCUCAGGAUAGCUGGAGCUCUAGUGCGAGUUCUAUCGAGUAAAGCCAAUGAUUAGAGGCAUCGGGGGCGCAACGCCCUCGACCGAUUCUCAAACUUUAAAUAGGUAGGACGGCGUGGCAGCUCCGUUGAGCCGCGCCGGAGAAUCGUGAGCUCCAAGUGGGCCAUUUUUGGUAAGCAGAACUGACGAUGCGGGAUGAACUGGAAGCCGGGUUACGGUGCCCAAUAGCGCGCUAACCUAGAUCCCACAAAGGGUGUUGGUCAAUUAAGACAGCAGGACGGUGGUCAUGGAAGUCGAAAUCCGCUAAGGAGUGUGUAACAACUCACCUGCCGAAUCAACUAGCCCCGAAAAUAGAUGGCGCUGAAGCGCGCGACCUAUACUUGACCGUCGGGGCAAGGGCCAGGCCCCGAUGAGUAGGAGGGCACUUGUCUUUGGCCAAGCACCCACGGCGGACGAGCCGCGUGGGCCGCCUCGAAGUAUAAUUCCAAUCGAGCAGCGGGUAGAAUCCUUUGCAGACGACUUAAAUACGCGACCGGGUAUUGUAAGCGGCAGAGUGGCCUUGCUGCCACGAAACGCUGAGAUUCAGCCCUUCGUCGCUUUGAUUUGUCCCCCUCCCGAUCCCCCCACGUAAAACCCCGUUCCCACCGCGAGGUUCAGUAGCUUUUGGAUCAGAAACAUGCAAGUCCUGGAAAAAUUCCAGGUCACGAGACCACACCGAUCCACCCCCACGCGUUCCGAGGGAAAAUCGAAUAGUAUAUCGGGAGAACGCGCAAGUACAAAGUCAUGGGCAAUCUCAGGCACCACCCGUGGGCAAUCCUGGCAACGGGCAUGGGCAACUGUGGCCAUGGCAUGGGCAAGCGUGUCCUUGGCACGGGCAAGCAGUGGCUCGUGCAUGGGCAAUCCUAGGCAACGGGCGUGUAGGCAAGCCGAGGCCAUGGCAUGGGCAAGCGUGUGCAUGGAAAACCCCCGUGGGCAAUCGUGCACAGCGGGCGUGGGCAAUCAGCCCUUGGGCUAUCCCGUGUGCAAACCUAGGGAAUGGGAGUGGGCAACCCCCAUGGGCAAUCCUAGCAAACGGGAGUGGGCAAGCGUGGCCACGGGCGUGGGCAUACGUGGGCAACCUCCGUGGCCAACGGGAGUUGGGCAUGGGCCAUGGCAUGGGCAAGCCUAGGCAACGGCCGUGGACAUGGGCCGUGCAAGCAUUGCCUGUGCAUGGGCAACCGUGGCAACGGGCGUGGGCAUACGUGGGCANNNNNNNNNNNNNNNNNNNNNNNNNNNN